GAUGAACGCUAGCGGCAGGCCUAAUACAUGCAAGUCGAACGGUAACAUGAGUAGCAAUACUUGAUGACGAGUGGCGCACGGGUGCGUAACGCGUAUGCAAUCUACCUUUAACUGGUGAAUAGCCCGAAGAAAUUCGGAUUAAUACACCAUAGUAUAGUUGAGUGGCAUCAUUUAACUAUUAAAACUCCGGUGGUUAAAGAUGAGCAUGCGUGACAUUAGCUAGUUGGUGAGGUAAUGGCUCACCAAGGCUACGAUGUCUAGGGGAUCUGAGAGGAUUAACCCCCACACUGGGACUGAGACACGGACCAGACUCCUACGGGAGGCAGCAGUAAGGAAUAUUGGACAAUGGUCGCAAGACUGAUCCAGCCAUGCCGCGUGAAGGAUGACGGCCCUAUGGGUUGUAAACUUCUUUUGUAUGGGAAAAAACCUCUUUACGUGUAAAGAGCUGAUUGUACCAUAAGAAUAAGGAUCGGCUAACUCCGUGCCAGCCGCCGCCGUAACAC
rnacentral:rRNA from 1 species